rnacentral:lncRNA from 1 species
UUUACUUCAUGGAGUGAUAUUAUGUCUCAUUGGACUACAUAUAAGAUAGCCGAUUUCUCAACAUAUGUGUCUCGUCGGACAUUCAAUCAUACCAGGCUUUUAUGAGUACACACAUUCACUUCAAAAAUUGAUAUUUUUGUCCCUUGGACCUGCAAUAUCUGAUACUCGUGAAUAGGUAAUUCUUCACAGACUACAAUUUUGAAGUAUUCAUCAUACUUCAAUCGGAUCGUAAUUUAAGAAGAGUCGCCACUUGUGGUGGUCAUACACGUAUUUGCUCAUUUUGUUUCAACCAUUCAUAAAGGGGGUGGUAAAUAAGAUCAAAAUUAUGACUUUAUCUUGCGAAAAUGUUCCAAUACCAUUAAUUUCCAAUGCUCAUGAAGGGUAUGCUUACCUGAAAAGACAAGAGCUACAAACUCUAUUUUUCAAAAUUUGUUAACAUACUACAAAGAUAAAGAAAUUGAACUAAAUAAUAUUAUAUCCAC